rnacentral:rRNA from 1 species
UACGAAGGGGGCUAGCGUUGCUCGGAAUCACUGGGCGUAAAGCGCACGUAGGCGGACUCUUGAGUCAGGGGUGAAAUCCUGGAGCUCAACUCCAGAACUGCCUUUGAUACUGAGAGCCUUGAGUUCGGGAGAGGUGAGUGGAACUGCGAGUGUAGAGGUGAAAUUCGUAGAUAUUCGCAAGAACACCAGUGGCGAAGGCGGCUCACUGGCCCGAUACUGACGCUGAGGUGCGAAAGCGUGGGGAGCAAACAGG